CAGAAAGGUUCUUGCUUCUUACGCCCUUCUCCGCUUUGUCUGCAAGACGCCUCAGUCGACGAGCUACCAGAUAAGAACCAACGGAAACUGAUUGCUUUUUCUCGACCAACAUUCUUCAGACGGACUGGGAAAACAGCGUCUGGGACUGGAGGGCGUGGUCGAAAUCAUUGUCCCCUUAUAAAGGAAAGCACAAUGCCAUUGACGGAAGAAUCAUUCACUAUUCAACUUCGAAUGAUUUGCUAAACAUGGGA